rnacentral:lncRNA from 1 species
AAGAGUGGCCAUCAGCACACAGGUUUUGCAGGGAAAUAUGCCUCCCAGUAUCAUGGAAACUCUCCUUUCUGCAGCCUCCCUGCUUCAGUAUUCUCUGCAGGUCCCACUGCCACAGGCAAAGCAGAAGCACUUCAGACAGCAGAAUCUACUGGUUCUCUUCAUAGAGAAAUUAUUUGCUUGGGAGUGCUUCUGUACUCAGGUAUCCAAAGCCAAACUUGUUAAAAUAUGCACAGCUAAGGUAAAGCUCUGGAAGCUUUCUGGGCAGAUCAGAUCCAGUCUCUUUUUGGUGGCAAUGCAUAAUGUUCCCUCACUGGCACUGUACCAUUUGCCAGCACCACGCAGCAUUUUCUACUCCUGGGCCACUGGUUUAAAACCAACUCAGCUUAGUAGCAGGCCAGUUAUACCAGUCAGUGGAGAGCAGCAGUCCACAUGGACCAGGUGGAAGUACUAAGUGGGUUGUCCAAGUCACUGCGGGCUCAAAUGGGCAAGGGACCAGGACAGAGCCAUGUGAAGAGCUGGUCCUCAGAGCAGAUGCUGCUGGUCCCGGCAGUAAUAUAGACCCAAUGGACAUGGGGCUGAACUGCACUGAGUACAUGGAUGCAAUAAUUUGCUUUGAUGUGUGCUAUGCUAUGCUCUGUUUAGCUAAAACUUCCGUUUCCUGAGUU